UCUUCCUAGAGCCCUUCAAAUGACAUCCUGGGUCAUCUCUUUCAUGUCACAAAAGCCCACUCUAUGACAGGCUGUAUGACGGGUGUAGAGGGCACAGGAGUAAAGACAUGGCUCGUGACCAUAGGAGCUUCCAGAAAGAGGGUACAGGAAGAUCCACCCCACGCUGACCUGACGUGGGCCUGCACCCCAGGCCUACAAAGGAGCCUGGCCUGGAGUAGGAGGAUAUACAUAUAGCACCAUGCACACCGACCUCAAAUUCUUCAUGGAACCCGAGCUCAAUGAACUUUUACAUACGCAUAAACCUGUGUGACACCAACCAGAUCACGAUGCAAAACACUUCCACCAUGCUAGAAGUUUCCCUGAAGCUCCCUUGCAGUCAGCGUCCCGCACGGGUAACUGCCAUCCCAGCCUCUCUCAUUGAAGAUUGGCUCCGCCUGUUCCUGAACUUACUAACGGAAUAACAUGUACUCGUUCUUUGCGCCUGGCUUCUUUCACCCAACGAAAUGCCAGAUUCAUCCACGUUGUGGCAUCUCUGGAUGGUUUACAUUGUUGUUGUGGGAUGUGACAGGGCACAAUGAUACCAUACCUUUUCCAGCCACUCUUCUACGGAGGGACAUUGGGGCUGAUUCCAUUUGGGGCUAUUGUGACCAACCCCUAGGAACUCCUAGUGCCUUUAGGACACGCGCGUUUAUUUCCCUUGGCUGUGUACCUAGGAGUGUGCCUGCUAGGUCAGAGGGUGGGCAUCUACUUGUUGUCACAGCUAUUUAGACGGUAGGUAUAUGGAGCCCAUUUUACAGAUGGGGAGACGGAGGUUCAGAGAAUUUAAGCAGCUCAUCCAAGCUCGUGCAAUUACCAAGUAGUGAGGACUGGUCUGGAAUCCGGAGGUUGUUCUGACUCCAAAUUCUUUUUCAGGAGAGGUCAGCGUUCCUGCCAAUCUUCUCAGUUCUGCUUUCUAGAACAGUGUCCAUGGGGCAGGAGUCGGCAUGGCCCAGCUGGCCCUUUGCCACACGGUCUCUCAUAGGCCACAAUCAAGCUGGCGGCCAGCACCGCAGUCGUCUGGGCCCGACCAGGGAUGGAUCUGUGGCCAAGCUCACU